rnacentral:rRNA from 1 species
UACGGGGGGGGCAAGCGUUGUUCGGAAUUACUGGGCGUAAAGGGCUCGUAGGCGGCCAACUAAGUCGGAUGUGAAAUCCCCAGGCUUAACCUGGGAACUGCAUCCGAUACUGGAUGGCUUGAAUCCGGGAGAGGGAUGCAGAAUUCCAGGUGUAGCGGUGAAAUGCGUAGAGAUCGGGAGGAACAUCAGUGGCGAAGGCGGCCAUCUGGGACAACACUGACGCUGAAGCACGAAAGCGUGGGGAGCAAACAGG